GUUCUCGUGGCCUAGUGGUUAUGGCGCAUGUCUUACAUAACAUUCUUUCUGAUGAGAAGAAAUAUAGGAUCACAUGAGAUCCCCGGUUCGAUCCCGGGCGAGAACA